ensembl:snRNA U6 U6 spliceosomal RNA
GUGCUCACUUUGGCAGCACAUAUACUGAAGUUGGAACAAUUACAGAGAAGAUGAACAUGACCGUGUGCAAGGAUGACGUCAGCCCUUUAAAGCAAUAAGGUAUCGGC